AUACGUAGGGUGCGAGCGUUAAUCGGAAUUACUGGGCGUAAAGCGUGCGCAGGCGGUUUUGUAAGACAGUGGUGAAAUCCCCGGGCUCAACCUGGGAACUGCCAUUGUGACUGCAAGGCUGGAGUGCGGCAGAGGGGGAUGGAAUUCCGCGUGUAGCGGUGAAAUGCGUAGAUAUGCGGAGGAACACCGAUGGCGAAGGCAAUCCCCUGGGCCGGCACUGACGCUCAUGCACGAAAGCGUGGGGAGCAAACAGGAUUAGAUACCCUGGUAGUCCACGCCCUAAACGAUGUCAACUGGUGGUUGGGAAUUUAUUUUCUCAGUAACGAAGCUAACGCGUGAAGUGGACCGCCUGGGGAGUACGGCCGCAAGGUGAAAACUCAAAGGAAUUGACGGGG
rnacentral:rRNA from 1 species